GCUUUGCUUUGGAGACGGCCGAGGGAGGUUGUGAGUCCCGCUAGAUUCCUACCGGACCCGAGGACCUGGAGUGCCAUGAGUCAGGCCCUGGGCUAGACGACCCGCAUCCCUCAGACCCCCGUCCCCCUCCACGGGAAGUUCCAGCAGGCCCAGGACCUUUCUGCCUUGCCCAGCUGGAUCCCCCGCAUCUGGCCCCGUUCCUGUCACAGAGAAGACCCCAGAGGUUGCAAAUAAACAUUUGCUGGGUGAAGAAAACAAAUCCUUACAUUUACAGAUAGUAAGAGCAGGGUCACACACCAUAUCCAUCACUGAAGAAGGACCACAGUCAAAACAUGACAUUUAUCAACCAGCUACUAUAUGCAAGGUCCUGGGUGCCGGCUCGUUUCAUGCCCUCUGCACAUCCUGGAGCAGAAUCACAGGUGUUGGAAAAGAAGUCUUUUGAGAGCACAAAGCAACAAGUGAUCCUGAGUCCAGUGACCUCAGGCAUGUGUGUGCCACACACCGGGGCAGUUAGAGGUGGUCCGGGGAGAUUCUCAGAGCCAAGGCCAAGAGUUUCAAGCUUUCUGAGGGUGUGAGUCCACUGGGACCCUCCUGCUAAGUUGGUUUCUUUGCCGCCUUGUGGGUGUUCCCUGCAAAGACUGCUGACACUUGAAGAAUUAAAUAAUUAUAAUAAUGAUGAUAAAAAAGAAAUGGCUUUUCCAGCUGAACAGAAACUGAAGACAAGGAGGUUCCCACACCCGUUGUAUUGUUUUUGGCACUGUACUCCCAAAGCCCCCGGGAGGCAGAUGUCUGGGCUCUCUGAGUCGUGGUCAUGGAAGGGGGCGGGGGAGGCAAUGGGGACCUUUGGAGAAUUUCAGGGGCAUCUGUGGGGACUUCCCGCCCCAAAAAGCCAGGCUGAGAACUGAGCAGGGAAAGGGACUUGUCUUACUCUGUUCGGAAGCCUCAGAAGCUUCAAGAACAAGUCCUGUAAGAGGGACCCUCAAUGUUGUAAACACCCGUGUAGAGGCCACUGCCUGCUAGCAGUUGAGGGGUGCCAGGCCUUCUCCUGAUGGUUUGACCUUAGUACCCCCAGGACAGGAGUGCCCAGAGAAACCUGGAUGCCACGAAUAGGUGGAUCAUGCUAAUAAAACCACAAGGCAGAAGACAAAAAGGAAAAAAAUCAUAUCCACUCAAACACAGAUUCCCUCUCAAUAGACCUAGAGCUGCUUGAAAGCUUCUAGAAAGCAGGGGCAUGUCUGUCCAUCUCUCAAGGGAACACCAGGGGAGGAAGGGACUUGUCAGUGCAAGGAGGAAACAUGCCAGUUGUGCAAUAGGCAUCUCCCUCUAGAAACGUGGUUGACCUUGGGGGGUGGUGAAGGUGAGAGGAAAGAAGGAGAGUGGAGGCUGGAACAUGGCUGUCAGGGCUUGUGGCCUUACCCUAGGCCUGACAGGCCAUACUCACUAAUAUGAAAUCCUCAGGGCAGCCUCUUGAGAUCCACACUAUCUGCAUCCCCCUUUUGCAGAUGGGUAAAUGGAGGCCCAGGAAGUCCCUUCCCUGAAAGUCUGAAGUCAGACAAUGAGGAAGACUGCUGGGUUGGAAGAUGGGUCAGAUGAGCUCAUCAGCCCGGCUGUGACUACUGCCUCCUUUCGUUCUUCGCUUGGAGCUGCGACAGCCUCUCCCCAGACUCACUCAGCUUCCCACCUCAGACCCUUUACACACACUGUUCCCUCUGCCAGGAACUCUGUUCUCUCCCCUCUUUCCUGCCUCCUUCCUCCUCCUCCAGGCUCUCAGCCAGACCACCACUGUGACCCUCUGUUUUUUGGCCUCAUUUACACUAUAUUUUUCCUUCUUAGGAUUGUUCAAAAACUGUAAUUAAAUAAUUAUUUAUGGGGCCAUUUAUUAAAAGUCAGCCUCCCCACUAGAGAACCAGCCUCAGCAGGGAGGGCCUGUGGUCCCUGAUCGUUGCCUCCCCCUUCGGUUUUGGCACACAGUAGGCACACAAUCAAUAAACACAUGUUGAAUA